AUUGAACGCUGGCGGCAGGCUUAACACAUGCAAGUCGGGCGGAGAUGAGGUGCUUGCACCUUAUCUUAGCGGCGGACGGGUGAGUAAUGCUUAGGAAUCUGCCUAUUAGUGGGGGACAACAUUCCGAAAGGAAUGCUAAUACCGCAUACGCUCUACGGGGGAAAGCAGGGGACCUUCGGACCUUGCGCUAAUAGAUGAGCCUACGUCGGAUUAGCUAGUUGGUGGGGUAAAGGCCUACCAAGGCGACGAUCUGUAGCGGGUCUGAGAGGAUGAUCCGCCACACUGGGACUGAGACACGGCCCAGACUCCUACGGGAGGCAGCAGUGGGGAAUAUUGGACAAUGGGCGGAAGCCUGAUCCAGCCAUGCCGCGUGUGUGAAGAAGGCCUUUUGGUUGUAAAGCACUUUAAGCGAGGAGGAGGCUACCUGGAUUAAUACUCUAGGAUAGUGGACGUUACUCGCAGAAUAAGCACCGGCUAACUCUGUGCCAGCCGCCGCCGUAACAC
rnacentral:rRNA from 1 species